rnacentral:rRNA from 1 species
AGUGAACGCUGGCGGUAGGCCUAACACAUGCAAGUCGAACGGCAGCACAGUAAGAGCUUGCUCUUACGGGUGGCGAGUGGCGGACGGGUGAGGAAUACAUCGGAAUCUACUUUUUCGUGGGGGAUAACGUAGGGAAACUUACGCUAAUACCGCAUACGACCUACGGGUGAAAGCAGGGGAUCUUCGGACCUUGCGCGAUUGAAUGAGCCGAUGUCGGAUUAGCUAGUUGGCGGGGUAAGGGCCCACCAAGGCGACGAUCCGUAGCUGGUCUGAGAGGAUGAUCAGCCACACUGGAACUGAGACACGGUCCAGACUCCUACGGGAGGCAGCAGUGGGAAUAUUGGACAAUGGGCGCAAGCCUGAUCCAGCCAUACCGCGUGGGUGAAGAAGGCCUUCGGGUUGUAAAGCCCUUUUGUUGGGAAAGAAAAGCAGCAGGUUAAUACCCCGCUGUUCUGACGGUACCCAAAGAAUAAGCACCGGCUAACUUCGUG